GACGAACGCUGGCGGCGUGCCUAAUACAUGCAAGUUGAGCGCUGAAGGUUGGUACUUGUACCAACUGGAUGAGCAGCGAACGGGUGAGUAACGCGUGGGGAAUCUGCCUUUGAGCGGGGGACAACAUUUGGAAACGAAUGCUAAUACCGCAUAAAAACUUUAAACACAAGUUUUAAGUUUGAAAGAUGCAAUUGCAUCACUCAAAGAUGAUCCCGCGUUGUAUUAGCUAGUUGGUGAGGUAAAGGCUCACCAAGGCGAUGAUACAUAGCCGACCUGAGAGGGUGAUCGGCCACAUUGGGACUGAGACACGGCCCACACUCCUACGAGAGGCAGCAGUAGGGAAUCUUCGGCAAUGGACGAAAGUCUGACCGAGCAACGCCGCGUGAGUGAAGAAGGUUUUCGGAUCGUAAAACUCUGUUGGUAGAGAAGAACGUUGGUGAGAGUGGAAAGCUCAUCAAGUGACGGUAACUACCCAGAAAGGGACGGCUAACUACGUG
rnacentral:rRNA from 1 species